AAUAGAUACCCAGGUAGUCCACGCCGUAAACGAUGAGUGCUAAGUGUUAGAGGGUUUCCGCCCUUUAGUGCUGCAGCUAACGCAUUAAGCACUCCGCCUGGGGAGUACGGUCGCAAGACUGAAACUCAAAGGAAUUGACGGGGGCCCGCACAAGCGGUGGAGCAUGUGGUUUAAUUCGAAGCAACGCGAAGAACCUUACCAGGUCUUGACAUCCCACUGACCGGUAUAGAGAUAUACCUUUCCCUUCGGGGACAGUGGUGACAGGUGGUGCAUGGUUGUCGUCAGCUCGUGUCGUGAGAUGUUGGGUUAAGUCCCGCAACGAGCGCAACCCUUGAUCUUAGUUGCCAGCAUUUAGUUGGGCACUCUAAGGUGACUGCCGGUGACAAACCGGAGGAAGGUGGGGAUGACGUCAAAUCAUCAUGCCCCUUAUGACCUGGGCUACACACGUGCUACAAUAGGAGUGGUACAAAGGGACGUGCAAGACUGCGAAGUCAAGCCAAUACCCAUAAAACCAAUUCUCAGUUCGGAUUGC
rnacentral:rRNA from 1 species